GCCGCAGCUGCGCAGGGCUCCCCGCGAUGCAACCGGUCUCUCCCAGGGGGACCGGUCUCUCGGGGACCGGUCUCUCUCCGCAGGGACCGGUUCCCGAGAGCUGGUUUUCUGGGACUUAGCCGAUUUUCGGCCUUUCUCAUUUCUCACGCGUUCGGGGACCGGUCUCUCCCACCAGGGACCGAUCCCCGAGAGCACAAAAACUGCAGUUUGCAGAUUUUUGAUUCUCUAGCUCUCGAAAACCUCCCAUAAUGCACCUUUGAUCAUUUUAACAUCUUCGAACUUUCCGAAGUGUACCAUCCUCGCACUUUGGUCAAUUUGACUAAAGUUCGAUAUUUAUUUUCCGAAUUUUCGGUAUAUUACACUAUAUUUGCACAGCGUAGUACACGUACAAUUAGCAACUAGACCUCCG
rnacentral:lncRNA from 1 species